GAUGAAGAAUGCAGCGAAAUGCGAUAAGUAGUGUGAAUUGCAGAAUUCAGUGAAUCAUCGAAUCUUUGAACGCACAUUGCGCCCUUUGGUAUUCCAAAGGGCAUGCCUGUUCGAGCGUCAUUUGUACCCUCAAGCUUUGCUUGGUGUUGGGCGUCUUGUCUCCAGUUCGCUGGAGACUCGCCUUAAAGUAAUUGGCAGCCGGCCUACUGGUUUCGGAGCGCAGCACAAGUCGCGCUCUCUUCCAGCCAAGGUCAGCAUCCACAAAGCCUUUUUUCAACUUUUGACCUCGGAUCAGGUAGGGAUACCCGCUGAACUUAAGCAUAUCAAUAAGCGGAGGA
rnacentral:misc_RNA from 1 species